CGUUCGGCUAGGGCAGCUAGGGCUAACCUAAAAGGUGUAAGCAGUUUUUAAAUUAUUUGUGCAUUAAAGUAUUUUUAAAACUUUGAAAUGUUGAUUAAAGUUAAGACCCUCACUGGUAAAGAGGUCAGUAUUAACAAAAUAUUUUCUUGAACAUUUCUAUAAAUUUCUUU